rnacentral:misc_RNA from 1 species
UUGAAUCCUCAGGAUGUCGCUGGCCGCCCCAAAAGGGUGGCAUGUGCACUCCGCCUUCAACCCACCUGUGCACUUAUUGUAGGUCAAAGAGGGAAACCCUUUGCCUAUGCUUUUUUACACACACUACUAGUAUCAGAAUGUAAACAAAAGUAGACCUUCAGGUCGAAAUAACAAUA